rnacentral:rRNA from 2 species
UACGGGGGGAGCAAGCGUUGUUCGGAUUUACUGGGCGUAAAGGGCGCGUAGGCGGCCUCCGCAAGUCAGUUGUGAAAUCUCCGAGCUUAACUCGGAAAGGUCAACUGAUACUGCGGGGCUAGAGUGCGGAAGGGGCAACUGGAAUUCUUGGUGUAGCGGUGAAAUGCGUAGAUAUCAAGAGGAACACCUGCGGCGAAGGCGGGUUGCUGGGCCGACACUGACGCUGAGGCGCGAAAGCUAGGGGAGCGAACGGG